GUAUUGCUUUGGUAAUACCUAUAACAAAAUUGGAAUGGUACAGAGAAGAUUUGCAUGGCCCCUGCGCAAGGAUGACACGCAAAUUCAUGAAGUGUUCCCUAUUUUU